rnacentral:lncRNA from 1 species
AAAGAUAAUAAUGGAAAAUAAAAAUGAAAACAUAUAUUAUAACAGUAAUUAUAACAGUAAUUAUGACAGUAAUUAUAACCGAAUAAAUAUGAACCAAGAGAAGAACACUAGCAAUAAAAGUAGUAACACGUUUGAUAGUACGAACAGUCAUUUAAUUGUAAAUAAUAAUGUAUUACCUAAUUUAAAAACUAAUGAUUAUAAUAAACCUAAUUUUAUGCAAACUCAUGAAAAUGCUUAUAAAAAUGAAGCUAUAUUAACAGGUGCGGGACAAACACACAUGUCAACAGAAAACAUGAGUGAGCCAUAUGUAAAUAAUAGUAGUAACUUUUACAAUACAGAACAAAGUAAAGUUAAUGAUAGUAAUAACCCGAAUUUAAACAACAAUAGUAAUACCUAUGGUAACAGUAGUAAUAAUAAAAAUAUGAUGAAUUGUGGGUCUUUCGGUAACGUACCAUAUUAUAACUCGUUAAAUUAUAGUCCAAACAAUAUGUAUAUAUCUAAUUAUAAUAAUCAACAGAGUGAAAGAGGUAAUAGCUACACAAGUAACUACGAUAGGGACAUAAACAAUGACACAUAUAGUAGCACAGAUGGAACAAUAAAAAGUAGAUCAACUAGUGAUAGACGUGAUGUAACUGAUAAUUACAACUACAAUCGUAGCAUAUCAUCUACUACAAAUGUUGAUAAUGAAAGAAUUUACAAUGGGAAUAUAUAUAAACAUAAUGUAACAGAAAAUGUAGAACAACAUUUUAACUAUAGUACAACAGUUGGUACGAAUAACUAUAUCGCACCAAAUAGUUUAGGUAAUAAUUAUAAUACAAAUUAUAGUGUGAAAAGUAAUAGAACUACAGGUACUGUAACUACAACUGCUAGUAAUAACGUGUCAGAUAUAUCAAAAUUAAAAAACAACGUUCUUACAAAUAUGAAUGACAAAAUGAAUAGUUAUCAACAUUUAUAUUCUAAUAAUAAUAGUUUUUCAAAUUAUGAUGAAACGCAAAAGCAUAUUCAAUACAGUAGUAAUGUUACAACUACAUAUCCUGUUGUGAAUGUUACACAGUCAAUAAACAACCCAGUUUGUGGUAACCUUGACGGAGCAUCACCUGGUGGCCAAAACAAUAAAAAUAAAGUCACCCCAAUUCCAUACAAUGUACAUACAGGGGUAUCAUAUAACGUACCUUCUAUGGCCGAUAAUGUUCCUGUCGGUGCUUAUAGUAAUAAUGCUAACAGUUCAUAUAAUAAUAACGUAAGUUACUACCAUACUAAUAACUCAUAUGGUAACGUUGGUGUAAAUACACCGACGCAUGUAGGUACUCCAACGAAUACGUUUGGAAUAAUGCGAAAUGAACAGAUCGGUGAAUCAUUAGGAGGAGUACAGGUAGGAACAGAAAGGGAUGAAGAUGGAGAAGGAAGAGGGGGUGGGAUAAAAAAAAAAAAAAAUGUUAAUGAUAAUAACAAUAGAACUGAUGAAGAAUCAGAAGAAAGUUCUAGCGACAAUGAUUCGAGUGACAGUGUUUCUAAUGAUAAAGGAGAGGAAGUUUAUACGUUGCUUAAAAAAACAUUUAACCGUAUAGACAUGAAUAAAGUACCCCGUCCUAUUAUAAAUUUUGAAAAUAAAAAAAGUAAAAAAAAUAUAAAAUAUUUUGAAACUUGUAAAUACAUAGCUCCUCCUUCGUUUUAUCAACCAUAUAUAUCAAUAGACACAGGUAAAGCAGACGCACGGUUUAUUAAAAGUACAUUAUACCAAAUACCUUUAUUUUCAGACACAUUAAAAUUAUCAAAGAUACCUUUUGGUAUCAUUGUGAAUCCAUUUGCAAGUUUAAAUGAAGGAGAAUGUGUUGAUAAAAUUGAUAUGAAAGAUAUAGUUAAUAACAGUGAAAAGAACAUUGAAAUAUUACGUUGUCCUAAAUGUUAUAGUUACAUCCAUUCAACAAUAUUAGAAAAUAUAUCUAAAUCUGUGGAUUGUGUGUUUUGUGAUGCAAAUUUUAUGAUAAGUAAGAACAUUUUAUAUGACAUUUAUAAAUAUAAUGAAAAAGUAAAUACUGUAGUUGAAAAUGAUGGAUAUAAUAAUAAUAGUAAUAAUUUAUCUCCUUUAUUAAAAGGUAGUGUAGAUAUUGUUAUUCCUUCUAAGUAUUAUGAUAAUAACAAUAACUUAGUUUUGAAUUAUACUUAUUUAAAUAAAAAUAUAAAUCAAACAGCGUCGAUAAUAACAAAUAAAAUUAUGAACAUAACAAAACAAAUAUCAAAUACAUUUAUUUCGAAUGAUAACAAAAAUUUAAAUAAUCAAAUAGGAGGAAUGUAUUCGAAUGGAG